UUUGGAACUUUACCGCGUGCAUAGAGCAAAAUAGCCCUCUUUUCAUGGUGGUCGAGAGUUUGUGUUAGAAGUGGUUAAAAUAAUAGGGAAUUAGCCUUUCACACGCCGCCAUUUUUGGGGUACUGUAAUUUUUCGUAAACGAUUAUAACAAUGUGAAAAGCAAUAUUUCAGAACAAACUAUUUACAGAGUAAAUUUACCAUCAUACACCCACAAAAUAGUAUAAAAUGUCGAG